UUUAUUUAAACAGAUUUGUUUAUGUAAUGAAUAAAAAAUAGUUUUUUUUGCCACAUAAGCUGCUUAAGACCCCACACAAUUAGCCACGUCAGCAAUUUCUGACGUGGCGUGUUUAAUUUGUUGUAAUUGGAAAAAAUUGAUAGUUUAAUCACCUAAUUGACAAAAUUGAAAGGUGGAUCACCGAAGUGAAAUAUGGCCUAUAGUUUAGGGUACUAAUUCAUAUUUAAGCCUUUAAAAUAUAAUGUAAAUUAGAAAAGUAGCCAAAAACUAUGGAAAAAAUAAUUUUUUACUUAUUUUUGUAAUUAAUAAAAUUAAAAAUCUUUUAAAAUUAAAAAUCUUUUAAAAAUAAUUUUUUUUUACAUAAAUGUUUAUAUAUGUUAGGCAAAGAAUUAUUAAUUAUUGAAAGCAAAUAUUAUGGUAUAUUAAAAAUUUAUUACUAUAUUAUAAUUAAAUAAAUUAAACACACUCAUCAUCCAGAUUAUCCAGAUUUCUCUAUCUCUUUCUCCUCUAACCUAGCACCAUCAUCACUAUUCAUCAUCUUCCUCAUCCAAUUUAGUGCAGAAAAUCCAAAUAAUAAAAACACUAGUAAUCAACAACCAAUAAGGGAUGGAAUAGAAAUAUGGGAUACUUUUCCUAUUUGGCACUAAUAAACAAGAUCAAAAUAUUAAAAAAAAAUUGAAUCAAACCAUGUGCCAAAUUCAAAACUGCUACAUAAAAUAAAACAACCCCAUGUGGCUUAAGUGCAUCCGCUAGAAAUCAACACUCCCAUACAACAUCGCUGAAAAAGCUAAGAUUUGAAAUCCCCACCCCAGAUUUCCGACAAAAAGGAAGUAGAAACCAAACAUAAGCAAAUCUGAUUAUUGGAAUACAACCAAGAUCAAUCAGUUUCAUUUAAACAUGGAACCACGAGAGAUUGACUAGCCAUGGCGGCGUUGGUCUGAACGUCGGUGUACCUCGAGAUAAGCGCCGAGCGUAGCCAAUAAAAGUCGCGAAGUACAGAUUGAAACCUCGAGGUGUGCUCUCAUGGUCUGCUUCAUCUUUCUCCAGAUCUUGUUUUGAUCUCGCCGGUACCUGCUUCAUCUUGUCUUGUUUUGUUCUGUUGGAUCUAGGUUUUGAUUGAAGGAUCUGCUGGAUUAGUUUGAUGAGGCGGCUGGAAUAGAGGGCUGAGAGAGAGAAGGGGAUAGAAAUUAAAAUUUCAGAUCUGUAAGAUAUAAUUUUAUUGAAUUAAUUUUAAUGUUUGAUAAAUAUGAUUUGACAUAUUUACCCUCAAAUGAUUAAUAAUUGUAAAAAAAAUAUUUGAAAUAAUUUUUUAAAUUACACAUAAGCAUGUUUAUGCCUAGUCAUUUAUUUAUAUUGAAAAAACUAAGCCACAUAAGCGCGCCACGUCAAAGUUCCGUUACAAAUUUAACAGUUAAGACGAAAUUUAAAUUUUUUGUUAGUAAAUAAGGGUUCAAUGAGUUGACUGUAAGAAAAAACGAUUGAGUGACUCACCUGUAAGUUGAUAUAUAGUACAAUGACCAAAUAAGCAUUUAACCCGCAGAAAUAGUAGAUAGACAAGUAUUAUGGGCAGAAGAAAUACCAGAAUAGGAGAGAGAAACAAAAGAGAAUGUUGGGUACAACUUCGUUUACCUUUUCGCAGGGCAAUAGGUUUAUCUAAAUCAAACUGGUCAGGAUCAGAAGAAGAUUUACCAGCGAUAUAUCUGUUCUGGGACGACAACUGUACACAUUACGAAUCUUGAGAACUGGUUGAGAUGGAGGUGUAGACCGAAUGAUGUAAGUAGGUAUCUCUUCAUCUAAAUUAGAGACGGAAUGAGGCUGUGAAGAAAAAGGAUAGACUCAAAAAAGGACACAUCAGAACUAACAAAAUAUUGUUUAAGAUAAGGAGAAUAACGACGGUAACCUUUCUGGGAGCGAGAAUAGACAACAAAUAAAUACUUAAUGGCUUUAGGAUCCAACUUUGUCAUAUUAGGAUGAUGAUCACGAACAAAGUAUACACACAUACACUUUUGGGGGAAAAGAAAAUAAAACUUGAGAAAGAAACAACAAAGAAAAAGGUAUAAUCCCAUGUAACACAGAUGAAGGCAUGCAGUUAAUAAUAUGACACGCGGUUAAAACCGCAUCUCCCCAAAAUAGUUUAGGAACACGCAUUUCAAACAUUAAAGCACGUGUAACCUCCAUAAUAUGUCGAUUUUUGCGCUCUGCAACACCAUUUUGUUGUGGUGUAUCAGUACACGAGAACUGGUGAAUAAUGCCUCUUUGAGUCAUGAAAGUAGAAAAGGGAGAUGAAAAAUACUCGAGAGCAUUAUCACUACGUAAUACACGGAUAGUACUGCCAAACUGAGUUUUUAUUUCAGUCACAAUUGGAGAAAAUAGAAAAUAAUUCAAAGCUAUUUUUCAUUAAAUAAAGCCAAGUAACACAUGAAUAAUCUGUUGGUUUGUUAUAUCCAUGAACAUACAAUCAAAUUGCAUAUAAACAACGAAAGCAUGACAAAAUCAGAUUUUAAAAUUUUACAAACCAUAAUCAGAAUCGAUCUUCAUGCGCAAUUAUCAAUUAACAAAGGAGAUAGAGAUUUAUACCCUUAUAGAACAAAGCUUCCUCAGGUACAAGUUCAACUCCAAAUCCUACGUGUCAUCUUCAAAUUCCACCAAUUAAAUUCAUUUGAUCAACGUUAACCAUCCAAGUGUUUGGCCUCUAGAGGUGAUCCACAAAUGAAUAAUAAGGAUUCAAGAAGUGUGUCGUGGCUAUCAGUGUAACCCUAAUCCAUAAUAAAACUCCUCUUAUUUAUAUAUAUAGUCAACCCUCCUAAACUAUUUAGGAGUAGGGUUUUUAAUUAAUUCCUAAACCAUUUAGAAACUAAAUAAUAAUAAGACUCUUAUUAUUAAUUUAUAAUUUGUAUUUCCAAAAAUACUAAAUAAUAAAUAUUAAGAUAUUUAAUUUAUUAUAUCACCAUAGUAUAAAUUAAAUAUGCUUAUUAUUACGAUUAUGUCAUUCACUUCCUAAACAAAUAUUUUUCUUUUGCGGUGUGACCCUUUAGGUUAUCCAUAUUAAACUGGUUGUAGAAUAAAUUAAUUAGAACAAUUCUAAUCUUAUUUAAAUAAAUAAAUAAAAUUAUUUAAUUAAAUAAUAUUUAUUCCACAAUAAGGGUAAACCCUCUUAGCGAUCAAUGACUUUUCAGAUAAUAUAGAUUUCAACAUUUAAUCAUAAAAGAACCUUUCAGUGAAUAGUUAUCGUACAAUUCAAUCCUUCUAUCAUACAAUGUCCCAAUCAAAUAUAAGACUUGAAAUUACUGUCAAGUCUUAUUUUAUUUGAUUAUAUGCAUUUCGAUUCUUAAAUGCGUAACUCUAUAUAAUGCAAAUUAGAAAGUACAUUCUAAUUUUAUUCUGACUUAACCAAGGACUACUGAGUUGUCAUUUAUCGAAUCACAUAGGGCAUUCUUAUCUUUUAUUAGAAGUGGUAGAUUCUUGUUAACCAUUCACCUAUCUCCAUGUACUACUUAUUAUACUCAAUCAUACCUUUUGAUAUACCCUAAAGGUCUUAAGAGACAUGUCAAAGCAUAACUCAUCAUACACAAAAUACUAUGAUGAUCUCAAGUCUAAGAAUCACUUGUAUGACAAUAGGAAUUCCUAUUGACAGACAAAUAAAACUCUAUUAGGUAUUCUUUUAGCGAGUCAUGUUCAGUGAACUUAAUCUCUAAUAAACACUUGCGUUCUUGCUUUAGUGUCUCUACACAAAUGAUUAUGAGAUCAAUCAUUCUCUUCAUAAGAGCAAACAUAGUAUGUACUAAUCUAUCCGAAUUUAAGAAUCACAUUCUUAGCAAUCCAACGAUUAGAAACGAUUUUAGUUUUGGGCUAUUUUGAAUUUAGAUCUCCUUAGCAUGAUCAUCAUGAUUCUAAAAGCAUUGAUCAAAUUGUGGGUUUAUCACAAUUAAUUCAACAACACAAUGUGAAUAAAGAAUAAAAUUACAUAGUAACGAAUAAGAUUACAAAGUAUAUGCUACAUCAAAUCAAAUAUGAUUCGAAUGUGUGCAUACUACUUUCAUAAUCGUCCACAAAGAUUACAAAAUAACGAAAACCAAGUUGCGACACUACUGGGCAAGGACCCCAAAUAUCAGAAUGAACCAAAUCAAAUAGGUGCGUAGACCUUUUAGUGACUAGGAGAAUACGAGACACGAUGGUGUUUCCAAAAUUGACAAGAUUCACAAUCUAAACUAGACAAGGAACUGAAACAAGGCAUUAAUCUCUUCAAGUUGGCUAAGGAAUGAUGUCCCAACCGACAGUGGACUUGAAGUGGUGAAGCAAUAAUAGAACAAGCAAUAGGUUGAGGGAUUAAAUCAUCGAACAUAUAUAAACCUCCCAAUACACGACCUCUACCAAUCAUCCUCUUCAUCAUAAGAUCCUAAAAGACACACAAAUCAUAAUAAAAGGUUAUAGAACAAUUGUAAGUCUUUGUUAAUUUGCUCACAGAAAGAAGAUUAAAUGAAAAGUUAGGUAUAUUUAGUGUAAAGUUUAAUGAGAGAGCCGGGCUUAAAGUAGCAGUGUCAGUUCCCUUUACAGUGACCAUGGAACCAUCUACUGAAGUGACACUGGGAAGAGAGGACAUAGUUUAAAAAUGAGAGAGAGUACUAGAUGUACCUUUCAUGUGAUCAGAUGCCCCUGAAUCUAUUAUCCAAGGAUGAGAGUUAGUAUGACAAGCACUAGCAUUACCUGAUUGAACAAAAGUAACGGUGAAAGUAGAUGGUUGUCGAGUAACCUAAUAUUGUGUGUAGGCAUCAUACUUUGCUGGUGGGGUCAUAAUCAGUCUUUUCCUCGGAUGAUGUAUGAACAGAAGAUUGUCCCAAACCAGCAACCACAUUUGCAAAUCGUGGGUGUUCCGAUUAUGAAGAUGUCUACAAAAGCAUUGAACAUGACCGGGCUCUCCACAAUGAUAACAAACUCUGCCUAGUCUUGUCCCUCCAUUGUUGUCUGAACUCUGACUCCUACUACUCCCUCUUCUGCCUCCCAAACCACCGUAACCUCGUCCUCCAGAACGACCGUCAAAUCUACCACCACGAACAUUUGCAGGGCCAUUAUGACCUGCACCCCUCCCAUAGGAAGUAACUAAAGCAGAUUUAUUGGAAGAAUCAACAGUAAGGUAGCAUCACGGGAGACACAUAAAACUCGGGCAAAAGCAUCUGUAAGAGAUGGUACCGUCGGGCUGCUAAGAAUCUGGGAGCGAACAUUUUCAAAUUCAAAUCCAAAAGCACCUAGGAAACCCAUAAUUGCCAACUGGUCACGUUGGGGUAUUUGUGUCACAUCUGUUGUAAUAGGGAGCAAUGAAUUGAAUUCCUUGUACAUCUUAAAAUCAGCAAAAAACUGUGAGUGGGCGUCAAUCUCGACGAAUCUUAUAAAAGUCCUGAGACCUCAUACAUACGAGCAAGAUUAUUUUGUCUUGAGCACAACACCGCCAAGUACUCCCACAAUUCUUUGACGGUAUCAAUAUGAGUAACCAAAUCAACAAUUUGACUGCCCAUCGAAUUAAGCAUCUGAUAGAGAAUCCUGACAUCGACUGUCUUCCAUGCCUCGUUGGAAACGUUUACUGUCGUUAAGUGAUCACUUUGUUCUCUACUAAUCAGGGCCAACCUCACACUCUUCCUCCAUUGCGGAUAAUUAGUAACGCCUUCCAAUUUCUUAUCAGUAAGACGAGUUGAUGAAGAUAGUAUUUCUGUAACAUUUGUUGAUGGUCGAGUCAGAUGAUGUACCGGAAUUUUGGCUCACAGUAGGCUUGGGUGUUGCUGACAUCUUGCUUGGAAUAUCUUGUAUUAAAUUUUCCCAAGCAACAAACUACGACAAAGGAUCACAAAUAAAUAGUAACCACAUACACCUAACCCAAACAAACAUAUACUAGUGCGUCGAGCACCUCAUAUAACAAAUUGCAAAGCAAAUCCCAUGAGGCAAAGAAUCAUCAAAAGGUUGCUAUUAAAUCACCAAAAAAUUCCCAUGACCCAAGUACUUCUCACAUGUAUAUAUCAAAGCAAAGCAAAACAGUGUCGUCACUGUUCAUGGUGAACAGUACCGUCGGUGUUCAAGAUGAACGCUUUUUUUUAAAGGGAAAAUAAAAUGAAAAUAAGAAGGAUGAAGAAUUAAAAAGAGACUCGGGGAAAAAAAAACUUAAAAACCAUGGCUUUGAUACCAUGUAAAGUAGAGCGUUUAUUCCCUAAUAAUAUAUUAAGUACAAAUAAGUGCUGAGCCUUUUAUAGACUAAGACUCAUGCUAUAUAAGGAAAGUAAAUCAGUCACUAGAACAUAUUACUCCACACAUUACUCCCACGAUCAUGCUCCCACAAUCAUGCUCCUGGAAUCCUCUAGAAUCCUUAACAAUCCCUGAUGAGAUAUUUACACAUCAAAUAAGAACCUGUCAAGUUACAAACUGCUUCAAAAGCUUAAGCUGUUAAAACUAGGUUAGCAAUAAACGUUAUUCUUCAAAUAUAUGGUGCACAUCUAAGUGUAUCAGUAUCAAAGUUCACAGACCAUACAGAGUGCAUAGUUGACGUAAAUUUGGGGACUCGAUGCAAGUGGGAAAAAGCUAAGUUCAAGACUUCACAAAAUUAGACCACUAAUAUUGAUACAAUGACAACUUACUAAUAUAUUUUAAACUUUCAGGUGCCAGGACUAUAUUAAAGAUAAAAUAGAUAUAUGGAAUAUUGUUGUUCACUUAUUACAAAUAGUACUAAAGCCUUAGAUAUAGCCUACUAGUUGAGUAGUGGCCAAAUAUGUGUGGGCACCAAGUAUACUUGGUGACCAAGUAAUAAUAAUAAUAUACUCUAACACUUCCCCUCAAGUUGGAAGUCUUAUAUCACGACUUACAACUUGUUACGUAACAAAAUAAAAGGCUCAAAAACAACUACGAAAAACUCCUUGCCUAAUAAUAAUAUACUCUAAUACUCCCCCUCAAGUUGGAAGUCUUAUAUCACGACUUACGACUUGUUACAUAACAUAAUCUUAAAAAUAAAAGACCCAAACCAACUUCGAAGAUUGAGGCCCUCUUCAAUUUGCAUAGAAAAAUGAUUGAUUGUUUUUACGUCCAAAGUUAAGAUUUUUCACCCUCGGUAUAUAACUUCACACAUCCACUUUCCAAGGAUACAGAGAAUACUCAUCUCCCAUAACAAAUGUGAAGGACUCUAUCCUUCAAAAACAACCACGAAGGACGCCUUCCUGAAAUAACGAAGGACUCUCUAGCCUUCCACAAAAUCGAAGGACACAUUCCUUCCGCUCCAUGCAAUCCUUACUUUCAAAUCAACCAUUUACAUAUUUCAACCAGAGAAAUUAACUACUAUGAACAUAUUACCCUUGUUAAAAGGAAAAAAAAUUUAACAUGCAACAAGGAACUUACAUCUUCGGAAAGAAACCUCAAAUCUGGGCAACGAAGUACUAGAGCACCAACUUCACCAAUUUUAGCAACGCAUGACAAAAGGAAAAUGAUAUGCAUGUCCACAAAUAUUUGACAAAAUUGGAUUACGACCAACGUGGAAGUGUAAGCGAUAAUAUAGAAUAAAUUAAAAUGGGACCCUUCUUAAUUCUUACAUAUCCCGUGUAUGCACAUACGUCGCAAUCAUAAUUCGGCUGAAAACUUUCGUAAUGUAUAGCAGGACUCAUGACAAAACUCAAACUACAACUCCAACAAAAGAAUUAAACUGAACUCUAACCACCUAUUUUUUUUCUUUAAGAUAUAGUUAAACAAUAAAAAUAAAUGAUGCCCGCCGCCGGCAGCGGAAGGAAUAUAUUUUGAUUUGUUUGCCAAGACCAACCUAGCACUGCUCCCAUGUUAGAGAUAAAAUAGAUGAAUAUUGUUGUUGUCUUAUUACAAAGAGUACUAAAACCUUAUAUAUAAGCUACAAGUUGAGUAGUGGCCAAAUAUGUAUGAGCACCAAGCAUACUUGGUCACUAAGUAAUAAAUAUAAUAUACUCUAAUAGACUGCAAUUCAUAUCAUGCUUCAAGAGAACAACUAUUUUAUAUCAGAAAAGGAUUUUGUGUCAUAUUUAUGUGAAAUAGAUGAUGUUAGACCAUAACACACCAAUAUAACCAUAAUUGUUAUCAUAUAUAUGAUAAGUAUAUAAAGACAGAACCUUUUGGCUUAGGAACAAGGUGCCGACUCCAAAUAUAUCCAUGAGGAAAAUCUGGUGAACUAUGGGAACCACUUAAAUACGUUACUGGUCUCAGCUUCAAUCUUUUCUUUCUAAAUUCAUUAAUCAUGUCCCGCAUUCCAAGCGCAAUCAUGGAAUCAACAAUCUGAUAAGAUAGCUGCAAAAGUAUAUCAAAAUUCAUGAAAUCAGAAUGUCUGAAUCAAUUAUUAAUUUGAUAAAAACUAGACUAGAAGAAAAUAGCAACCAGGUCAGCUUACUCGAUAAGCUACUGGUUGUUUAACGCGGGAAAGCGGAUGUGGGAAUUCACUAGUAGGCCUGCACAUUGAUGACGUAGAAAAGAAGCAAAAGAAAAGUGAAAAAUCAAAAUCAUUAGUAACACAAAUUUCAAGCAUCAUCAAUUGACUAUGUAGCAUAUAAUCAAAUGUCAGUUCAUGACUGCCAAAAUUAUUUAACAUAACAUCCUUAAAAUAUUUAGUCCACUGGUGCAGAAUGUGAGUUAAGAGUAUAAUUAUUAUGUAAUACUCCCUUCAUUCCAAAAGGUAAGUGUCAUUUUAACUUUGUGAAGUCAAUUUGAGAGAGUUUCAAAUUCAGAAUUAAUAUGAAUUCUCUGUAUUUUAGUCAUUACAAUUCUGGAUAUUGUAAACUAUCUAAAAAGUACUACUAAUUAUAAGAUUAAUUGUUUAUAAAAUUUAAAUGUAUAAUAUAAAUUUUGAAUUAAAAUAUCUUGAUUGAGUUCAAAAGGUCAAAAACUGUUCUCAUCUUUUGACACAUGGAGAGAGCACAUUAUUUACCACGCCUUAUAUGUUAUGAUUUGAAUUUUGAUAUAUACCCAAUAUACGAAAUUAUCCCAUAUAUACACUCAACAAUACAUAAACAACUCUCAAAAUUCAACUACCUUAAUCCCAAACCCCACCACUGGGCAAAGAAAUAAAAGAAAGGAACGAAAAAAGAACUUACGUCCAUGGCAUUGUAAAAAAUAUAUGAAGUGGUACUUUAAGUGCCUCCGCAACAUCAGUGUGUCCUGAACAAGUACUUUUUCUCGUGAGCAGUUGAAUGACUUACAAAUAUGCAUCAGAGAACAUAGACAAGGAAGUCAAAUAUGACGCAAAUAGCAUAUCAAAGGAAGGUUAUUUAUUGACACAAAACUCAUAGCGAAGGCCCAACUACUUCAACUAUCAUGAACAAUUAUAUUAGUAUCAGCUGGACCUUAAAUAGAGGGUUUGGACUCGAUCCAUUUGGUAAAAAAAUUCAUUUUUUUAUCGCUGCCCCAUUCCAAGUAAAAGUUGGGAGUCAUCCAAUCCACUAAAUAUUUUCAGCAUCAAUCCACAUAGUUUUCUUCUUUUAGAGUACAUUUAGUGACUUCCAAGUUCAGAAAUCCUGGGGUAACUAUUGGAGUUGAGCUAGAUUCUUAGAACCUUUUUCAAAUUACUUGGCACAUGCAUUGAUAGUUAGAACAUGCGUUGAUAAUUGAUAGUUGAAGAACAUUUGUAUUGAUACAUGAGUAUUAAUGUUCACGUACGUGAACUCAUUAAACUAGAUUCUCGGGUUACACAGGCGGGUCCGGCAAGGAGCAAGUAGCAAGGAGCAAGGGGGGAAAGUGCCCACCCUUGCUUUUUGAUAUUUUUUAUAAGUAUAGUGUUUAUAUAGGUUACUUAUCAACAAUUAGAUAUUUCUAAUAUACAUUCAAAAACAUAUAUUUCUAAUAUCCUCUUUCAAAUUCAAAUUUCAAUUUUUGUUUUCACGGGUCUAUUUAGUUUUUCCCAAUUUAUAGGGUUAAGGUUAAAAAUAUAAUUAAACUUUUCUAUAAUUUUUUAUUAAUUAUUUGUGAGUAGUUAAUUAUUUAGUUUUGAUUCUUAUUUAUUUUUUAUUCAUUCAUACUAAUUAGCACAUCCGUACAUGCUUCUUAAUUUUAUAGUAUAUAUUAAAGAUUUUGGCAUGUGUAUCAUUUGAUAUUGUAUUCAUCGUUGUCACGACGAGAUGUGUCGGUAGUUGACUGUCAGGAUACCUAGGUGCUAAGGCGUCCACCAUGAUGUCUGUAAGUCGUUAAAAAUGUGCAAUGUAUAUAUUUGUUUAUUUUACUUCAAAACUAUAUUAAAUAAUAAAAUUUUAUAUACAUUAAAACUCAAAACAUUAUAACUAACACUAUGGAAUACAAUUAAAAACACAAUUAUAUGAAUACUUCACAAUCAAAAUUCAAAAACAAAACAAUUGACAUUGAAAACUAGUAGAACGAGUCAACAAACACCACGUAAAGAACCAAGUCAACACCUAUCGCACAUUACAAGUUUAAUAAGUAAUAAAAUUACACCACAUAACAAGUUCAUGGAUUAUGAUGAGUUACGAGUACAAAAUGACUUAAUUACUUAACUUUGGUAGCUCGGCGUCCAAGGCGUCACCUUGUCCUUUCUAGCACCUGGACGCCUAGUCGUCGCCUAGGCGAUGCCAUGGUGAUGCCAUGAAAACUAUAAUUGCAUUUAAAUCAAUAAAGACACCCGUACAUGCUUCCUAAUUAUAAAAGUACCCACCCUUAUUGAAAAUUUUGUAUCCACCCGUCGGGUUAAAUACACUUUUGCCUACCAAACUGAGAGCGAAUUUACAUUUGCAUCAUUAAGCUGAAAUUUUUUAUCAGUCAACUCAGUGUACAUGAUUUUUUGAAAAAAAAUAUUAAAAUUUUAACUUCGUCCAAUUUGAUAACAGAAAGAUGGGUUGGCAAGGUGUAAAGGAGAAAGAAAGCUAAUUUCGCGGGCUGAAGAAGGAAAAAAACUGAGUUAGAUAAAGUAAUUUAAUUAAAUUAAAUUAAACAACAACUCCUUUCUUCAAUGUUUGGAAAAACAAAAAAGCAUUUCUAAAAAUUAAACAAUAACCCAUUUUAUAUGUGAUUGAUUUUUUCCAUCACCGCACCACAGUCGCCACCGCUCACAGAUGAAUGAAAAAAUCUUUUUAAUUUUUCCUUAAAACUUUUAGAUCAAUACUUCAAUCUUUGAUCUGUCACAUACCUUUAUUAACCAACUGAUUUCAAUAUUCCAAAUAGCUUUAUUUUGGUGUAGAUCUAUGGAGCUCACUAUAUAUGUUUGUGUGUGAUAAGUGGGUUUUAUACCUAUGAAUUGAGUACUUUUAGCUUGAUGAAAUUGUGAGUUCUUGAGUAUUUUCCGUUCCUUUUUAUGUGUUUUUAUGCUUUUGUGUAGAAAAAGGAAAUGGAAGCAAAAUGGUUGCAUUAUAGUUAAUUUGAAGUUGCAAAGGUGUCGCAGCGCUAGGAUAUUCGUUGGCU
rnacentral:lncRNA from 1 species